UGGGGAAUUUUGGACAAUGGGCGAAAGCCUGAUCCAGCAAUGCCGCGUGUGUGAAGAAGGCCUUCGGGUUGUAAAGCACUUUUGUCCGGAAAGAAAUCCUUGGCUCUAAUACAGUCGGGGGAUGACGGUACCGGAAGAAUAAGCACCGGCUAACUACGUGCCAGCAGCCGCGGUAAUACGUAGGGGGCGAGCGUUGUCCGGAAUCAUUGGGCGUAAAGGGCGCGUAGGCGGUUUGCUAAGACCGAUGUGAAAUCCCCGGGCUCAACCUGGGAACUGCAUUGGUGACUGGCAGGCUAGAGUAUGGCAGAAGGGGGGUAGAAUUCCACGUGUAGCAGUGAAAUGCGUAGAGAUGUGGAGGAAUACCGAUGGCGAAGGCAGCCCCCCUGGGCCAAUACUGACGCUCAUGCACGAAAGCGUGGGGGAGCAAACAGGAUUAGAUACCCUGGUAGUCCACGCCCUAAACGAUGUCAACUAGUUGUUGGGGAUUCAUUUCCUUAGUAACGUAGCUAACGCGUGAAGUUGACCGCCUGGGGAGUACGUCGCAAGAUUAAAACUCAAAUGAAUUGACGGGGUC
rnacentral:rRNA from 1 species